CCGGCGGCUUGGGGAAGGGUCUCCCUCCAUUCUCUGGCUAACGGUCUGGGAAAGGCAGCGGAGAGGAGGGAGGGGGAAGCGGAAACUUUCGUCUCAGUCUCGACAAAGUCCCUCCUUCUCCACGUCAAGCCAAUGACACCGCUGCCCCCGAACUUUCCGCCAGCAGGAGCUAUAAGAGAGUCCCAGGCUGCAACUUUCGCCCAACUCCCAACCAGCUCCGAGGAGCCCUCGGGAGGGGAGCUGACAGCGCCAGAGAUUCUCCCUCCUCUGCUGCUUUCUUUUCGGCUCCCCAUGGCCCCCACCUUCCCAUCCAACUGAACGUCGCCGCCGCCGCGUUGCUGCUAUCCUCCUCUGGACUCUCACAGGACAAGGAUCUAGCCGCGGGGAGCUGGCUGGCUAGGCAUCUCCCGGCCCAACUAGCCCCUUCCAAAGGGGGCUGCUCGGUGCGCCGCAGGUUGGCCCCCGAGAUGAUGCAGCAGCAGGACGACUCCAACUCUCCAGUCUCGCCCGCCGACGACAGCUUGAGCAACAGUGAAGAGGAGCCCGAUCGUCAACAGCAGCAGCAGCAGCAGCAGCAGCAGCAGCAGCAGCUUCAAGGCGCCGGCAAACGAGGGGGACGGAAGAGGCGCUCGAGCCGUAGGGCAGCCGCAGGAGCCGGCGGCGGAGGCCCCGGAGGGGGCGGCGGAGUGACCGGCGGGGGUCUCGGCUCGGCAGAAGAGCCGUGUAGCCCAGCACAAGGCAAAAGAGGCAAGAAGUCGGGCAGCGGCGGGGGCGGCGGGGGCAGCAGCAGCGGCGGGGGCAGCCCUCAGUCGUACGAGGAGCUUCAAACGCAGCGGGUGAUGGCCAACGUCCGCGAGCGCCAGCGCACGCAGUCGCUGAACGAAGCCUUCGCGGCUCUGCGCAAGAUCAUCCCGACGCUGCCGUCGGACAAGCUGAGCAAGAUCCAGACCCUUAAGCUGGCCGCCCGCUACAUCGACUUCCUCUAUCAGGUUCUGCAGAGCGACGAGCUCGACUCCAAGAUGGCCAGCUGCAGCUAUGUGGCCCACGAGCGCCUCAGCUACGCCUUCUCCGUUUGGCGCAUGGAAGGCGCCUGGUCCAUGUCCGCCUCCCACUAGCGUCCUGAGCAGCCUGGCGUGCCUGGAGACUUAGCCACCUACUCUGAGCAUCAUUUAGCUGAUUCCAAGAAAAUACAGAAUUGCUGAAUGAGACUCCGUGGGACAUUUCUCAGUAGCCACAGUUGGAAGAAAAUAUUGAACCAUGCUGUGGAUUCGGUCAGCUCUUUUUUAAAUUAAAAAGGCAUUUUUAAAACCAAUAGAAAGAAGGAUCUUUCUGGCAGCAAGAUGACAGUAAGACAUUGAAAAUUUGCCUCUUAAAAUUUUGACAACAGGAACAAGAACAUGCCCAUGAUAAAGGCACUCAGAGAAGACUUUCUCAGAAGAGUUUUAAAGUCAGUCUGGCUCACAUAAAUAGGAAAAAAUUCAAAUGAAGUGAAGAACCUAUGGUUUCCCAGCUGUUGUUGGAUCAUAAUUUGAGUCAUCCAUGACCAUUGGCCUUACUGGCUGUGCCUUAAAGAGUUAAUAUCCAAGAAGAUAUGAAGGGCCAUGGAUUUCCCAUCCCAAAAGAUCAAAAGGGGAAAAUAAAGUGAGUGCCAACUGAAAUGGGAAGGUUGGAUUCACAUUGAUUCUUCAAUCAAUAAUGGAAUGGCACAUUAUUAUAUGGGGUAUUAUGCAGAUCAUAUGGAAGUCGAAGCCAAGAAAUUAUGAUUAUAUACUUCAUAGUAUGUAGGGAUGUAUAUUUGCAUUCAUAGUUCUUUGGUUUAAUAACAAUAGAAUUUGGAAUCAUUUGUAUACAAUACCAAGUUUUUGUGGUUCCGCUGGAUUGCCUUCCCACAAUAUAUUGACAUUUACACCAGAAUAUUUAUUCCAUGAGUGAAAAUGAACUAUAUGUCUUGAGUAGCCUACAAUCUCUGAAGCCUAUAGCUAUAGUGAUCUGUCUGGAGAGUUGCUCAUUUCAAUUGAUACUAGUAAAUAUUGGCCAGCUACAAGUCUAUCUACCUACUGAACUGCUAUUCAACUGUUCAUGAAAUAAAAAGCAGAAAUAAAAGCUGUGUUCAUAACACAUUCUGAAUUUUGUGCCCCAAACUGUUCUAAUAGUUUAUUAUUAAAGAUCUAACAGCAUCUGCAAUAAAGAGAUAAACCAGUUGUCUGUCAGGGUUCUCUGAAGUCAUCUUUCCCCAAAUUUGAAAAGUGCCUCACAUAGCAAGCAAGAAAGAUGGCAUGCCCCAUUACUUUUCCACUCACCCAUCUCCCAUAGGUGAGAGUGAGGUAAUUACUAUGUGGAAUUAGAAGUGUAGCUCUUUUUAAUUCAUUUUACAUACCUUUAUUUCUAAAGCAAUGAUGAUUUAUCAGAUUCCAGAAGUAACAUUUUAUUAAUCAUCAAAUAAUAAGAUUUGGACCCAUUCUCUCCUAUAUGCUUCUUUCCUACUUAGUCUUUUGCUAUGCCCUCUAAUUUUCUUGUUGCAGUUUCUGUUUUUCCUUGCAAUUAUACACACUGCUGAUUGAACUGUACAACAUGAAAAAUAAUACCAAGUUUCCACAGUGGGAUUUUAAUCUUUUUACUUGUAUUAUCCAUGCACACAUUUAUUUUGUUGGUCAACAAAACUAGUUCAAAAAUUGAAUUCCUGCAUUUGAUCACUAAGCAAGAGUGAUAGUAUUCAAGCUGUCUAUUUUGUAAGGAUAAUAGAUCCAAGAAUCUGUCAAAUGGAAGUUAACUCCUAGCAGUGUCAGUGCUUUCUUGAUUCAUGAUCUGCAUGAAAAAUUCUGUGGUUUCUUUAUUAAAAUUUGGUUGUGUGCUACGGACAGCAAAGAGUGUUACUUGGCUAUAUGACCACAUGAGCUUGUUCACUAGUUUUUCUGUUCUGAAUGUGCUUGCCUAUUGUAUGUUGGUGGCAAAUAAUUCAAGAUAGAUGAAUUAUUGAUAGUUAUUGCUGUGAACAUAUAUGUUGAUUAUACUGCAUUGGGUUUGGUUUUUACAUUUAUUCUCAUAGUGCUAUAUCUACUACAGAAUAUAUACAGGAAUAUAUUAUAUAAAGAGCCAGUUUAUAUAAUAUAUUAAAUAAUAUAGCCAGGUUAUCUGGUGGUUAAGACAACAGGCUAGAAAGUGGAAGACCAUGAGUUCAAGCCCCGUCUUAGCCAUGAAAGCCAGCUGGGUGACUUUGGGCCAGUCAUUCUUUCUUAGGCCAACCCACCUCACUGGGU